rnacentral:rRNA from 1 species
UACAGAGGUCUCAAGCGUUGUUCGGAUUCAUUGGGCGUAAAGGGUGUGUAGGUGGCGCCGUAAGUCGGGUGUGAAAUUUCGGAGCUUAACUCCGAAACUGCAUUCGAUACUGCGGUGCUUGAGGACUGGAGAGGAGACUGGAAUUCAUGGUGUAGCAGUGAAAUGCGUAGAGAUCAUGAGGAAGACCAGUGGCGAAGGCGGGUCUCUGGACAGUUCCUGACACUGAGCACGAAGGCCAGGGGAGCAAACGGG